rnacentral:lncRNA from 1 species
UGGGGAUUAAAGAGUACACUUAUGACGAGCACUUAGUAUGUAGAGAAUUGUUGCAUCACUGCAUUGUACAUCUGAAACUAAUAUAACACUGUAUAUUAACAAUACUGGAAUUAAAAUAAAAAUUUAAAAAUAAGUAUUUGUUGAAUAAUAGAGUGAAUCAUUGGUUUGAUGAAUACAUUCUAAACUGCUAUACCUUAUUCCACUUUCUUCUUAGCAGGCUCAUAUCUGUCUGUUUUGGACUCAGGCCAUUAACCAGACCCCAGCUCCUCAUGACAUUCAGCUUGGCUUGACCUUGGGCUGUAUAGAGUUUAGUGAUUAGGGAUGCGGUUUCUGUAUCGAAUAGAUGAAGUUUCAAAUAUGUGUCACUUAGGAGUCCUGCCUGACCUUGGGCAGGGCACAAGGCUUAAGUCUGGGUUUCUUCCUCUUAAAAUUCAGAAUAACAAUAGUACUGACCUCAAAAGGUUUGGGGCAGGAUCCAUUGAGAUAAUCCCUGUAACGUAGCCAGCAUAAUGCCUUAAUGUCUAGCACGCAGUAGACACUCAAUAAAUGGUGGAUGUUGUUGUUAAUUACUGUCAUUAUCUCCUCUUUGUUAUUAUUAUCUCAGAUGUCUGGGCUCUGGACAGUUUUGCGUCCCUGUGGAGACUACCAUUUACCCCUCUUUGCAAGGUACAGCUGCAUCUGGAAUCAAAUUACGAUGGAUUGAUGUGGAAGAUUUGGGAAGUGGGCAGAUUGCAUCAGAAAAACCUCAAGAUUCUUCAUGCUGGCCUACGGAGUCCCUAACUAAGCCAGAAGUGUUGUGGAAUGCUGCUGAUCGGGUCUGGGUGUCCCCGACUCCCACCUCACAUUGCCCGAGACAACAUCUUUGACUCCCACCUCACAUUGCCCGAGACGACAUCUUUGACACGCCUAGAGCUCCAGUUUGGAUCUUCUAAGCUCAAUUUGGUUCAGAGCCCAGUGCCCUUGUUCUCCUUCAGGACGCGGAGGGAAAAGAGGGUCCCUAAUGCCAUCUGGACCGUCGUGGAGAGUCACUCUCAUGUGCCUUCCAUCCAGGCAGUGCCUCCAGGGCCAGGCCUUCACGACCCCGAACCACCUGUAUCCACCCUAUUCAGUGUCUUCAUCUUCCAAGGUCCCAGAUUUCUGAAGCCCUAGGGCUGCCUGUCUUGGUGGCCACCACAUGGGCACUCUAGCUCCCAUCGCCUUGCCAGGAAGGGUAAGGAAACACCCAGGCUUCAAACAUAGGAGCCCUGGCUCUGGGUGCCCCAUCUUGAUUGUCCCCAGUGCACCUCCUUUUUUCUGGUUUUCCCAUUGUCCUAGACCCACACCUAUUUCUUCCUUUCAACUGCGAACACCCUCUCCUCUGUCAUUCUGUUGAGAACAGUGAGAACCUCCAAGUGCUCCCUGGUGCUGAGGCCUACAAGAAAAGGUUGGACGGGGUGCAUUUUGAGCUGAUCCCCCUUCUGCCCACUUGCCCUGUAAACAGGAGCCACCUGCCAUUCCUCCUUCAUCUCACAGCUUGGAAGGUGAACCAUGCACCAGGGAAAUGGAAUCUGCAGAGAUGCAUUUCCUGCACCUUAGGCCAUCCCUGCAUCCCUUCAAUCUCAGGAUUCUCCAUCAUCUCCUGCUGGGUGCUCUGAGGACACAGCCUGUGCAGAAACAGAACCAGGCAACACUACCCAGGAGCAUUUGGUGGGUGCUGGGGAAGUACUUCCCCACGAUGCUAAUGAUGGCAACUUGGCGCUGAGAAGCUCGUUAGCAAAAGCAUUGAAGACGCCUGCCAUAGCUUUCAAAUGCUGACAAUCCGUAAAUUGAAAUUAACAACGAAUAAAAAGAUAAGGAAAGCGCA